ACAUUGUUGUCAUUCGCGCGGCGACAAUAGAACAGAUAGGCAGCAACGCGACGCGCUCGUAUACGCAUUAAUUUUCGAGACGCGAUUGUAAAAAGUAUUACGGAAUCAUUUCUCUGAGUGAAUGAUUAAUGUAUAUCAUUUCGCGCAAUUAUUUAACUUGUACGAUUAAGUAACUUGUAUAUUAAGGCGACGAUUUGGUUUCGGAGUAAAUAUUUCGCGCAUUUUAUUCGCGUGAAGUAAGUAUCGCGUCGUAUCAAGUAAAAGCUGCUGACGUCGUUCCGGAGUCGGCGAAGAAACGUUGCAAGCGCGGAAUGGAUCGAUUCUGAAUCGCGACGCAUUUAAUUAAUGACGAGUGCCAUGAAGGAGAGCCAAACAAUGAAAUAAGAGAGAAAGAAGAGGCCUGAAACGGCAUAAAGUUUCGGCAGAGGUGAACCAUAAGAUCAACACUACGUAAUAUGCUGUGCAACUCCGCCGCUGCGCAUCGUACCGAAAACAAGGACGACUGAUACUCUGCCGUUAUGUUUUGAAGACUGCAUCACCGAAAUGAUCGUGCAGGGAGUUGUAACAAAUGCAAUUAGGGUAAUAAUCUCGCGGAUGGCAAUAACACCGUACACAGUUACAUUAUAUGUGGCGGUACACGGGUAAAUGCCACGUUUAUAUUACGCAAUCAAAGCGGUGCCAGCAGAUAUCGUAUGUAACUAUGUGUAACUAAUGCUGUACUAUAUACGCUAUGCGAUAUUAAUGCACCGCCAGAUCCAAUUUACUGCUAUUAAUGCGACAUAGAUACGUCGCUAUUUCACAGUCAUCUUGGGGGGGAAGGGCGCGAUGUAAUCUGAAAUCAAGUAUUCGAUAUACUUCACCUGGUGCCGCCAGUUAAUUACGGUAAAAUGUGGUCGUGAAUCCAUUAGCUAGACUCGACUAGAGACGAUUGCGCAUCGUCAUUCUAUAUAUUAUGUAUGCUACACAUGUCACACAUUGCUUACCAUGAUCAUAUUUUCCUGAAACUGGCAGAUAACUGGACAUGGGUUCUGUUCUCUUUCAUUAUCUGUCAUUUAUAGGAAAAUAUAGUUCGAUAAUUAAAUACAUUUUAUUACGUGUAAUUAUCUACCAUUCUCGAAAAAAUAGUGCUUGACAUUUAUAUGAGAAUUUAAUUGAUAAUAUAAUCUUUAUAUAUGAUAAUAUAAAAAAUCGACAGAUAAAUCGCGAUUCUAGGAUAAAUGAAAUUAUGCAAAAAUUUAUUUGCUACGCGAUAAUUAAAAUUUGAUUUUUCUGUGUGACUGAUGAUAAAAAUAUUAUACGUAAAAUAUAUGUACAAGAUAAAUAUAUCGAUGUUUCGGAGAAAAAAGAAAAAAAAACCGUGAGAUUUGUACGUGUAAAUUCUGACAUACGCGGGAUUCAAUUUUCCGCGUUUCAAAUAAUGAAACAACGUGGCGCGAAUCGCAUUACUUUUGUCAAACUGAGAAGCAACGUUCAUUGUUCUAAGGGUCUCUAAGCUCCGGGGCGUGGUUAUGAGCUAGCUUGGCAUUUAAUCCUGUCGUCGUUGUCCCCGGCUCCGUCACGGUGGUGAAAUAGAGCCGGCGCCUCGUUGUAAAUUCACCCCUGAUUGCGAGCGGCGGUCUUCGUCCGCGCCACCGUUCAUCCUAGGUGCAAAUGCAUUGUUAUAUGAGACCGCUUCCGCGAAAUCAUGAAACGAUAGCUUGGCACCGGCUGGGAGCAACGGUGGCGCCAGAAAUACGCUCUUUGCACGUAAACGUGCUUUAUCUUCGCUUCUUGAAAAUCUAAGAAAUUUUGCAAACGUCGGUUUUGUGUAUGAAAGCAAUGAUUCUUUCACCGAUUAGUUAUUUAAAUUAAAUACGUAUUACGUAUUAAUUACGUAUUACGUAUAGUAAGAAAUAUUUCUUUUUUCAAUUAAUUUUAUUUUUAUCUU